CCCCUAGAUGUUCUGGGCCGCACGCGCGCUACACUGAACAGUUCAACAAGUCUUAACCUUGGCCGAUAGGUCUGGGUAAUCUUUGAACGCUGUUCGUGAUUGGGAUAGACCUUUGCAAUUAUGGGUCUUCAACGAGGAAUUCCUAGUAAACGCAAGUCAUCAGCUUGCAUUGAUUACGUCCCUGCCCUUUGUACACACCGCCCGUCGCUCCUACCGAUUGAAUGGUCCGGUGAAGCGUUCGGACCGUGGCCUUUGGACGGUUCGCCGUCUGUUGGCUGCGGGAAGUUCGUUAAACCUUAUCAUUUAGAGGAAGGAGAANUCGUAACA
rnacentral:rRNA from 1 species